GCUGGAUGGCAAGGGCUGGUAGACAAGAAGUGGCCCUGCCCUGUUUUUUCCAGAGUCUAGGCAGGUACUUCUAACAACAGGACCCAUUUCAAGCUGAGAAAGAGAAAAUCUCCCAGGCUGCCACCCAGUUUACCAAAGUGCCAAAUUCCAAGCACAGUGGAACCCAGUCUGGCUCCCCGGAUGUUCAGAAGGCAACUGCCUCGGGUCCUCCCCUAUGUCUCCCUUUCUCCAGUCUCUGAAUCAAAGAAAAAUUUGCCCUCCAGGCAGCAAAAACCAGUUCAAGGGAGCUGGGCUCCUUCCUCCUUGCUGGGCGAGCAGGGGAGAGGAUAGAGGAAAUCGUGCCAAAGGUCACAGUGUUCUGGGUCAGCGUGUCCCAGCUUUGAAGUCAGAGAGCUGCCAGCAACCAGGCAAGAAAAAUGCUGUGGGCUGUUCCAUCUAUCAGGCCUCGGACAAGCUCUUGCUGGGCCUCGGCCUGCACAGCAGCUGCAUACUUCAGGGAGGACCACCCACACGAGAGACACCCCCUGGUCGCCACAGCAGCACACUUAGGAACCUGUGACUGCAGAAUAGCCAAGCCACAGAGCACACAACAGCUUCACAGGUGUGCCCAGCACUAGGGAGAACCAGUCUAUAGGAAUGAGUGAACUAGUCUGUAAAAAUGGGUGUUGAAAUAGAAGUGUCACCACCCAACUGUUCAGAGAUUCCGAGUCCAGCCAUCCCCAGCAGGCCAGCAAAAUCAGACUGUGGACACUUGGAUGAUUGUCAACUCCUAGACCUAAGACAAGUCACUGACCUCUCUGAGCCUCAAGUUGCUGUUCUCACAAGAAAGCAGAGCUGACAACAUGAUAAAAAUGAGAGUCCCCUUCUUGGAAAAGCAGGGGGAAAU
rnacentral:lncRNA from 1 species